UGCUCAGAUGGUGGAAUGGUAGACACUAGGGACUUAAAAUCCCUUGGGCGCAAGCCCGUGCAAGUUCGAGUCUUGUUCUGAGCAGC
rnacentral:tRNA from 2 species